CUUUAUCAUAUCUCCACAGUCUCUUUUGUCAUGAAUAGUGCAGUCUUCUUGAACAUUUAAAGUGAUUCUGAUUGAACUAUAGGAUUGAUUUUGCAAGUAGGACAAGACAGCUCAUUGGAGGAGCCAUCUGAAAGAGAACACACUGAAAUUAAGCAAAGAAAAUUGCCUGGUGAUCCAUUUGGUUUGGCAGGUUGUGAUUGGUGUCUUCACAGAAGAUCUUCAGUCACAUACUGAGAACUCUAAUUAAGAGAGUUAUCUCCAUUUGUGCUGGCUUGAGGGGGUACUUCAAUCAAGUAGAACCUGUUGAAGUGUGAAUAGGAAGAGCAGGGGAAGUCAGAGUGUCAUCGGGAGAAGUGAGUUGGCUGUCGACCAAGAGACAUCACAAGUCAGCUUUACUCUGGCAAAAUGUCCUCAACCCAGUAUGGAGACUUGAGGAAGAAAUCAGCUUUUUGCCUACACACUGGACCUGAAUCUGUUUAUCAGAGGUAGACUGACUUAACCAGGGCUCUUAGAGGCUGAUAUCAAAGUUCAAAUGUCAAUUUAUUAUUUCGCAGUAAGAAAUACUACAUACUUCUGUCCUGAUUAAUAUACUUGCAUUCUUGAGAUGGAUUUGCAUUAGAAGCUGAAAUAUUUUUCAAGAAUUGCUUGGUAGACAUGAAAUCUGAAAUAAGGAGGUUUUUAAUGAUAAUAGCUUCUGAUAAUCUGACACAUCUAUCUCUUCAGUAGAAUAUUCUGUCUCUAGGACCAAAGAGAUCAUACAUCUCAUUACACUACAUGAAUAAUACUAGAA